UACGUAGGGGGCAAGCGUUGUCCGGAAUCAUUGGGCGUAAAGCGCGUGUAGGCGGCCCGAUAAGUCCGCUGUGAAAGUCCAGGGCUCAACCCUGGGAUGCCGGUGGAUACUGUCGGGCUCGAGUCCGGAAGGGGCGAGUGGAAUUCCUGGUGUAGCGGUGAAAUGCGCAGAUAUCAGGAGGAACACCAAUGGCGAAGGCAGCUCGCUGGGACGUGACUGACGCUGAGACGCGAAAGCGUGGGGAGCAAACAGG
rnacentral:rRNA from 1 species